AGUAGUUUUAUUUAGUUAGUUGAGUUUGAAUUUUAAAAGAAGUAAGAAUUAAAAAUUGAUUUGUACUUUAUCAAUCUUUUAAUUUUUUUCUUUUCAAGAAAACAAUAUAUAUAUAUAAAAACCAACUUUAGAAGUAGUAAUAUGUACCCUAGCUACUACCUUUUAAGUAACAUUAAAAAGCAUAAAAGUUAAUUGAAUAAUUUUGAGUAACUUUAAAAAAUAUAAAGAUUAAUUGAAUAACUGACUUGUAGUUGGAGUAAAGGAGUAUUUUUCAAAAAAUCAGUAAGCACUAUCACUUGCAAGUCAUUAACUCCAACUCUGUUGAAUAUGAUGCAUGCACAUUUCACCACUCAUCACUAGUCAAGCGCAGCCCCUUAGUCCCUCAUCCAACAAAUCAAAAUCAGCCAUGCUUAAUGUUUUAAAGUAAGAAAUAGUAAAGAUUCAUGUAUGGCCAUGCUCCUGCCUCGAAGUCUUGCUUGGCACCAAUCAUAUUGAAUCCAAGGAGGCCGAAUAAAUGAGGAAACUGAGAAUUUCUACCAUUUUGUUCAAUAAUACUAAUUAUAUAGGCAGGCUUUUUUCAUUUUGUAAUCGUAUGUAAGAGAGAUUGUAACAUUUUUAAUUUUUUGGUUUGACAUUCUGGAAGAAAAUGGUUUGCCGUUUCUGGAGAAAACGAUUUGCCGUUUCUGGAGAAAACGGCUAACCCUUUAAUUCCAGAGAGUAUGUUUUCUGUUCUAGAGAAAACGACUAACCGUUUGGAGAAAACGGCUAACCGUUUGGAGAAAACAGCUAACCGUUUGGAGAAAAUGGCUAACCGUUUAUUUCCAGAGAGCGUGUUUUUUCGUCAACUGGAAAACCGAUUAGCAAGCUUGAAAAUUUCAAUUGUGAAUCGAUACAAAUUCAAACCAAAAGAGUGUCUUUGAAGAAGUACCAUUUCUAAUGGUUGUAUUUUUUCAAAUAAACAUCUUCUUCAUUAAAUAGUUAGACACACAAUUAGAUAAUUAUCAGAUUUUACAGGUUUCAUAUAUGUUCUGAAAAUACAAUCUUAUUUGCUAGAGAUUGUAUUCAGGAUUUGAUAUAUCUUGGGGGUAAUUUGCCAUUAAAACUCUAUAGCAAACUAAGAUUAGUGAGGGCAAAUAAAACCUUAAAGGAAAGUGUGCAAACACGUCUCAAAUCCUAAGAAUUUUUCUUUACUCUUUGCCUCCAUAUUCAAAAAUUCACCAACAUCAUAUGCCACAAAUUAAUUCAGUGGAUUUCCAACCUGUGAGGACAAAUGUGAUUAAUUAUAAAAGCUCGUAGUGUAAAUAAAACAAU
rnacentral:lncRNA from 1 species